rnacentral:rRNA from 1 species
AUGGAAGCAAGUGAUGAUAGCAAGACAGGGACAUCAGAACCCUUUGGGGUUAUGACAGACUACGUCUAUAAUGGGAAUCUCUCUGAUGUUUUCAAUUUCCCAAGCCAGGUUGUUCUGUUUUUGAGUAGAUUUUUUAUUUCUUUCAGAUCUGUCUCUGUUUGUGUUUGCUCUUAUUCUUUUGAAUCGUGUUUCUCGUUCGCCAGCUGUGUUUUAGGCGAUUCGGAUCUUGGUUGGGAAUCCAUGGAAGCAGGUGAUGACAAUCAGACAGGGACAUCAGAACCAUCUAAUGGUUAUGAUAGACCAAGUCUAUAA